UUUAAAUGUAAAUUUAUUACUUAAGUAUUAAAAGUUAUGUUCUUUAAAUUUAAAGAUUUUGGCAGUAUUUUAAUCUUUUCAGAGGAACCUGUUCUAUAAUUGAUAAUCCACGAUAAAUUUUACUUAGUUUAAAAAUUUGUAUAUCAUCGUUAUUAAAUAUUUUAUAAGAAUUUAAUAUUUAAGAUUUAAUAUUUUAUUUUAUAUCAGAUCAAGGUGCAGUUUAUAGUUAAGAAGAAAUGGGUUACAAUAAAUUUAUUUAAUAUGGUUUAAAAGAUGAAAAUUUUUUAAUAAAUUGGAUUUGUUAGUAAUAAAAUUUACAUUAAUUUUAUGAUUUAAGUUCUAAAAU
rnacentral:rRNA from 1 species